UACGGGGGGGAGCAAGCGUUGUUCGGAUUUACUGGGCGUAAAGGGCGCGUAGGCGGCCACCGCAAGUCGACUGUGAAAUCUCCGGGCUUAACCCGGAAAGGUCAGCCGAUACUGCGGGGCUAGAGUGCAGAAGGGGCAACUGGAAUUCUCGGUGUAGCGGUGAAAUGCGUAGAUAUCGAGAGGAACACCUGCGGCGAAGGCGGGUCUCUGGGCCGAAACUGACGCUGAGGAGCGAAAGCGUGGGGAGCAAACAGG
rnacentral:rRNA from 1 species